AGAAGCUACAGUGCUAGCCAUAAAUCGCCGUUUUCCCUUAUUCCUCUGAACCUUCUGCCUUCGUCGAUUUCCUCACCCUUUCCUCCCGAUCUUGCCGACGGAACCCAGCUCCGAUGCACGGUCGCGUCUGAUCGCCGGCUCCUUGUAGCGAGACGAGCCUCCGACUUCCUCGACAUCUCCAUAAAGGUCUCACCGGCGGUGUCCUUCCUCAAACACGCCGCUUUGCCUGGGAAUCUCCGGUCAGGUGGCGAGAUCUGGGUCCUGUGGAGUCGGGAGUCGAGUAGUUUGUUCUAGAGCUCAUCGUGGUUGAGGACUGCGCUCCCAGCGGUGGUUUAUCCACCCGAGCUCUAAGGCUGAGGUUCUCCGUCAAGAUUCCUUCGUCGACUGUGAGGAAUUUCGUCAUUGAGUGGCUUGCUCUGAGGGGCUCGACCACAACUCUCAGCAGCUGUUCUUCACCCGGGAAACAUCAGGUUUGAUAACGAAUCCUACGUUGAGAGUGGGGAUCAGAUCUGAGAUUGUGGGAGGUGAUUAAGGACUUAGAUCGGCACGAGCGUCGGGACGAGAUUGACGUUGGAUUCAGCCUACAUUUGAGGCGGG